rnacentral:rRNA from 1 species
UACGUAGGGUGCAAGCGUUAUCCGGAUUCACUGGGUUUAAAGGGUGCGUAGGUGGGUUGGUAAGUCAGUGGUGAAAUCUCCGAGCUUAACUUGGAAACUGCCAUUGAUACUAUCAGUCUUGAAUAUUGUGGAGGUCAGCGGAAUAUGUCAUGUAGCGGUGAAAUGCUUAGAUAUGACAUAGAACACCAAUUGCGAAGGCAGCUGGCUACGCAUAUAUUGACACUGAGGCACGAAAGCGUGGGGAUCAAACAGG